GAUGAACGCCGGCGGUGUGCCUAAUACAUGCAAGUCGAACGCGUUGGCCCAAUUGAUUGAUGGUGCUUGCACCUGAUUGAUUUUGGCCGCCAACGAGUGGCGGACGGGUGAGUAACACGUAGGUAACCUGCCCAGAAGCGGGGGACAACAUUUGGAAACAGAUGCUAAUACCGCAUAACAGCGUUGUUCGCAUGAACAACGCUUAAAAGAUGGCUUCUUGCUAUCACUUCUGGAUGGACCUGCGGUGCAUUAGCUUGUUGGUGGGGUAACGGCCUACCAAGGCGAUGAUGCAUAGCCGAGUUGAGAGACUGAUCGGCCACAAUGGGACUGAGACACGGCCCAUACUCCUACGGGAGGCAGCAGUAGGGAAUCUUCCACAAUGGGCGCAAGCCUGAUGGAGCAACACCGCGUGAGUGAAGAAGGGUUUCGGCUCGUAAAGCUCUGUUGUUAAAGAAGAACACGUAUGAGAGUAACUGUUCAUACGUUGACGGUAUUUAACCAGAAAGUCACGGCUAACUACGUGCCAGCAGCCGCGGUAAUACGUAGGUGGCAAGCGUUAUCCGGAUUUAUUGGGCGUAAAGAGAGUGCAGGCGGUUUUCUAAGUCUGAUGUGAAAGCCUUCGGCUUAACCGGAGAAGUGCAUCGGAAACUGGAUAACUUGAGUGCAGAAGAGGGUAGUGGAACUCCAUGUGUAGCGGUGGAAUGCGUAGAUAUAUGGAAGAACACCAGUGGCGAAGGCGGCUACCUGGUCUGCAACUGACGCUGAGACUCGAAAGCAUGGGUAGCGAACAGG
rnacentral:rRNA from 1 species